AACUACAAAUAUUCGGUUUGUGAAGAUCGUAAAAUAUGAUUUAAAACUGCACUUAAUCACUCUAACGCCUUUAAAAACGCAGCAUUCACCGAAAAUUAUACCAAAUGCCUCUGGGUUUCUUGGGCGUCAUGACCCAGAAAACCAUAAUUUGCCAAAUUUGUUAGGUUAAAUUCGUAUGUGGGAGCCGGAACACAGGGUAUCUGGAAGUGUCCUUCUGUCCAGCAAGUCGAAAUCCGGUUACAUCAUGAAAACUAUCCUGACAGACUUCACGAAACGCUGGAACACCGUCAUUGGGUUCCCGAUCUCUGAUGACACAACCUAUAAUUUCACGGCUUUCUAAUAAUGCGGACUAACAAAUAACGUAAAACGCAAAAGAAAAAUGCCAGCUGAUGAGUGGAAAAGGAAACAGAAAGUACGCUGUAAGGUGUCUCCUGGGCAGCUGAGAACACAAGGAUUCCCACAUCAGUGACUGUUAACACCAGCAUCCUUUGGGAUGUGAUGUCGUGUAGUCUGGUACGUGGCUUUCUUACUGAGUUAUUUAACGAUG